rnacentral:rRNA from 1 species
UACGGGGGGGGCAAGCGUUGUUCGGAAUUACUGGGCGUAAAGGGCUCGUAGGCGGCCAACUAAGUCGGAUGUGAAAUCCCCAGGCUUAACCUGGGAACUGCAUCCGAUACUGGAUGGCUUGAAUCCGGGAGAGGGAUGCAGAAUUCCAAGUGUAGCGGUGAAAUGCGUAGAGAUUUGGAGGAACACCAGUGGCGAAGGCGACUAUCUGGUCUGUAACUGACACUGAGGCGCGAAAGCGUGGGGAGCAAACAGG